rnacentral:lncRNA from 1 species
AGUGAGAUACGUUGCCCAAAGGGGAUGUGAAGUAGGGCCCAUCAGAAGUUAAAAAACAUAGAGAUUGGUGCAUCAUCUAGCACAAGAUACCUUGAAAUUGACACAAAAUCAUUGAAAAUAUAAGUCAAUUAUACUCCCGUGAAGACUUAUAAUAAACUAGUAUACUGACUGCUUUUGCUGAUGGACUAGUCGGUGUUGCAUUACUCUUGCUUUCAUCUUCUACUCUUUGUUUUUGUGGGGUUUGUUUGACAAUCUUUAUUUGUGACCCAUCAUUUUUCUGAGCUCCAUUUGCCGCUUCUCCUGGUAAAUUUUGACUCAUAAUGUUAUUAGCAAUCUAUUAGCACCAUUCUUUUUUCAUAGUAAUUUCUUGUUGAGGUUUUUGAGCUAUUCUUUGAUUACGUUUAUUACAUUCUGGUCACUUAGUUUAGAUCUGUCUGUUCAUUUGAGUUUAAAAAGUUUCAGUUUUUCUGUGCUAAUUCCUAAUACUGGGUUCCUCUUAUAAUCUUGAACACUAUUUGGGAUAUGGGUCUUUACACAAACUGCUUUGGUGUUUUAUCCAUAGAAGCUUUUAAAAGCAUAUAUUUUUUACUUAACUUUGCACUUAUAGUCAUAAAAAAAGUAAUGGUUGCGUAAUUCUUCACAGCUACGAACCUAAAUUUGUGUGCUUUAAUGGUUUCUGGACCACAGCAAAAUUUGAUCUUUUUUGACUUACUGUCUAAUGUAUUGACCACUCUUCGUACAAAAAUUAUAUUGUAUAUAUAGGUAAAAUAUCGGAUUUUAAUGAUAUAUAACAUAAAUUGAAUCCCAGAUUUUUUUUACUUAUUUCAAGUUUGAACUGCCUAAAUGAAAUUUCUGGCUUCGCCACUGGGAUAUCGUUGUGGUGCUGUCCAGUAAUGACAGAUUUAAGCUGAUGAAGAAGAUGGCAAUUGGGUAGAAACGAAAGGACUAAUCGGGUAUAUGUGUUAUCUUGCAGUGGUGAAAUCAAUUUCCGUCAGCCGUUGGUUUCUGGUAAUAAUAGUUGAGAAUGUGUGUUAGAAAUUUGUAUGAUGAGAAAAUAUACCUAACUCUAAUACUUUUUACUUGUGUUUGCAUAAUAUAGGCAUGAGAUGAAUUUAAAUAGAGUAACUUGGUGAGGCGAGGAUGGCCCCGACUUGUUUGGAAUUGAGUCAUACUUGUUGUUUGUUUCUGCUACUCUAUCUCCAGCCUAACCCUGCUAGUUAAUUUCCAUGGAUCAGCUGGUUAAACUUCAUUUUCUAUCACGAGAAAAUUUUAGCUGAAAAUGAUCGAAUCUGGACAAUCUUUUGGGCGUAGACAUUCUUUUGUUGGUAAAUCUGAGAAAUAUGAACAGAAUUUUUCAGUUUAUAUCUGCCCUUUAUCCUCCCAAGUUACAUGAUUCCACCCUUUUUAAGAUGGUUAACUGUGUAGCUCUCUGAGUUAGAUUUCAAUGUUCUGUACUUCAUCUACAGUUAGAAUUCAGUUUUGUUAUAUACUCUGUCUGCUUUCUCAUUUAUGAUGAUAGGUGUAAUUGGGUAUUCGUGUUUGAUUUUCUUUCUAUCGACAACAUAUUCAUAUAUCUGAGCUGUAAAUAUAAGUAAAAUAACUCCCCUUUUUGUCUAAGCAGAUCAGAGCCGAAUGAUGUAGAAUUUCUCCCAGUCGCGUACUUUCCUACUAAAGAAUCCAUUUUGUCUCCCCAUGCAUUGUCAGUUUUAAAAUUUUGAACUCGGCUCACAUUUUAGUAGAAUUUGCAGUCCACUGAAGAUUAUAUUCUGGUGUGUAUAUUAGUUGUUUCCGAAUCACUAUUAUGUUGAAGUUGUAUCUUUUGUAUGCCCUCCAAUGACUAUACGUUAUUACUACUCGCCUUUAUAUUGCAGAUAGUGCAGUUCUCUGUGUUUGUGUUUGUGUUUGUGUUUGUGUUUGCAUUUGAUCUAAUAUAAAUUUAAGAUAUUGACAUUUAUCUUGAGGCAGGGGCGGAGCUAGCUCUUUGACGACUAGUUUGGCCAAAUACAGUAGCUUUCGUCCAAACCCUGUAUUUGUCUUAAAAAAAACUUGACAUGUAAUUAUUAAUUUAGAACCCAAUAACUUAAAAAAGAACUAGAAUCCCGAACUCAUAUGCUUUAAUUCCUGGCUCCACCUCUGUUGGGAGGAGCUGUAUUCUUAAUCUCCCUUUAGCUCUUUCAAAUGCUGUUCAUAAUAUUGUAUAGAUGGAAAAAUCAUAAAAUUUGAAGAAGCAACCAAAUUUAUGCGACCAUGAUUUCAUGUUAAUCUAGGCUAUGUAGCUCAUCCCAUGAUACAAACUUAUUUAUGCAUGCUCUAAUUGCUAUUGUCUUGCAGGGUGCAACUAAAUAUCUGCUAGAUCAAUCCCAGAAAAUUCGAAAAGCAUGGCUCAAACAUUAGAAGCAAUCAAGGUCGGUGGAGGUUCUGUUAAAGUGGGAACUACUGGUAAAGUCAGUGCCUUGAUGUCAAGAGAAUUAGAUUCCAAGAAACCUGAUUCUCAG